GGAUCUUAUAUUGAUUGUGUUUCUUCUGCUUCUUGUUGUUUGAGUGUAAGUCAUAGAACCUGUUUUAUGCGAGGAAGACUCUGGGUCCCAUCCAAACUAGCUGGCUAAACCCGAGACCGUCCCGAGACUAGAUAAGUGACCCUGGCUAACAGAGUUGAAAAAGGGUGUAAAGCUGAUGCAUCUUGUUUUACCCAACCAUUUCAAAAAUGUUUUCAGUUUCCAACUGAGCUUGUCUGCAAAACUAUCCCUCUUUUUGGUUGGAAGACUCCCCUCUUUAAAAAAACAUCUUGGUUUCAAAAGGAAAAGUGUUUCAAAACUCUCUCAAUAUCUUUCCUUUUCACAAAGAAAGCAAUUUUAAUCCCUUUUCUCAACUCAACUUUGUUCAAGCUAUAUUUAUGAAACGGUUUAAAACAAGUCAAUUUGCAAAAGGUAUGACAUAAUCGC
rnacentral:lncRNA from 1 species